rnacentral:lncRNA from 1 species
GAUACAAAACCAGUUUAGCAGAUAAACAAGACAACACACUAUUCACAAACAACAAAAAGACAUUCUACAGAAACAUAAACACUAAAGAUUCUAGACAAGCACAAAACAGAGAAAUACCAACACAACAAUUGCUCACUAGCUUCUGGUCUGCCCUAUGGGCAGUGCCAGUUACACACAACUAGGGAGCCAGCUGGAUUGCAGAAGAAGAGACAUACUCAUUAAAUGUACCAGAAAUGUUCUAUACCACCAUUACCACAGAAGAAUUCACAAACACAAUAAGACGUACACACAAUUGGAAAACCUCUGGUAUAGAUGGCAUCCAGAAUUUCUGGUAUUACUUGUCAAUGUUCCUGAUAAACCCUC